rnacentral:lncRNA from 1 species
GGGGGAUUCCUGGUUCAGACUUUGGCAGUAGUGCUGGAUUAACAAGUGUUCAUCAUCGAUGCUCUCAUUAGGUGAAAUACUGUCAUUUAGGUAAGAACCAUUGCUGUUCUCCAUUUCUGCUAGCCUGCUAGCAUAAUGUUCAAUGCGUGAAUGAGUAUCAUCGUGUGAAAGCUGAGGGGACGAGGCAGGCCUAUAAGGCAGAAAACACUGAUUAAUC